AGUAAAUUUUAUAAAAAAUUAAAAUUUAAUAACUUUUAUAAAAUAUUCGUAACUGCUUACGCAAACUUUCAUCCACUAAUACCACAAGAGCUUGAACAAAGAAUAUUACAAAAUCCCAUGUGCAUAAAUUACUCAUCUGAUAAACAUCACAGGACAAAAAUCAUAGGGGAAUAGGGGGAAAAAAGAAAGCAAAGCAUCUUCAAAGUACUGGAGAUUCAAAGAACACUCACAAGCAAAGAAAAUCAAAGAAAAAAACAAGCAAAUACCAAAUAUUCAAAGUAUCGCCGUCGUUGACUUAUCAUUUAGACUUUCAAGCCAAGACCGAUUUACCUUGCAAAGAAUAGUUGAACAAUGCAGGGAGUGGCUUUGAACGUUACGGCUGAAGAAAACAAGUUCGUGAUUAGUUAGGCAGGCAUUAGAGGAGGCAGAGUAAGAUCCAGGAAUUGAAAAGAGAAUCUGCCAAAGUUAGAGAGGAGAUGGAAAAAGAAAGAGAAAUGCUUCAGUUAAGAGAUCAGCUGAGUGAAGAACGUGUCUAGAUGAAGAUGAAGACAAGGGAGACAGAGGGAGAGGAAGACAGGUAGGGGAUAGAGAUGAAGAGAGAAAUGGAGGAAAAAUAUAACCGUUAUGAAAAAUAAAGAUAAAAAUAAAAGUUAAAAAGUUUUUUUAUGUAAUUGUCAAAAUACAGAACGAGUUGGGCAACUAACGACAAACCCUAAGGUAAUUCACCCAUAAAUAAAUAAAUGGAACCAUUGAUUCUUUAACCAAAGCAACAAAAAGGAGAUGGUACAAGUUAGACGCAGUAUCCUAAACAAGUUGUAUAUUGCAACUACUGAUACAAAAAUUCACAAAAGUGAAGGACAAGAAAGGGAUGAGCAAGGAGAAGAUUGAUCUAGACAGCCGCUGUUGAUCUUACACGAAGAUUCCCGCUAAGUAAAACCCUAAGGUAAUUCACCCAUAAAUAAAUAAAUGGAACCAUUGAUUCUUUAACCAAAGCAACAAAAAGGAGAUGGUACAAGUUAGACGCAGUAUCCUAAACAAGUUGUAUAUUGCAACUACUGAUACAAAAAUUCACAAAAGUGAAGGACAAGAAAGGGAUGAGCAAGGAGAAGAUUGAUCUAGA
rnacentral:misc_RNA from 1 species